CCUACGGGUGGCAGCAGUGGGGAAUAUUGGACAAUGGGGGCAACCCUGAUCCAGCCAUGCCGCGUGUGUGAAGAAGGCCCUCGGGUUGUAAAGCACUUUCAGUGAGGAAGAACGCCUGGUGGUUAAUACCCAUCAGGAAAGAUAUCACUCACAGAAGAAGCACCGGCUAACUCCGUGCCAGCAGCCGCGGUAAUACGGAGGGUGCGAGCGUUAAUCGGAAUUACUGGGCGUAAAGCGCGCGUAGGUGGCUUGAUAAGCCGGUUGUGAAAGCCCCGGGCUCAACCUGGGAACGGCAUCCGGAACUGUCAAGCUAGAGUGCAGGAGAGGAAGGUAGAAUUCCCGGUGUAGCGGUGAAAUGCGUAGAGAUCGGGAGGAAUACCAGUGGCGAAGGCGGCCUUCUGGACUGACACUGACACUGAGGUGCGAAAGCGUGGGUAGCAAACAGGAUUAGAUACCCGGGUAGUC
rnacentral:rRNA from 1 species